GAAAUCAAUUACUACUCAAUGUACACAUGCAAGUCUCCGCCCCCCUGUGAAAACGCCCUUAAACCCCUCUAGGGACAAGGAGCCGGUAUCAGGCGCGAAAAUCUGCCCAAAACACCUAGCUUUGCCACACCCACAAGGGACUUCAGCAGUGAUUAACAUUGAAUAUAAGCGAAAGCUAGAUUCAGUUAGAGUAAACAGAGCCGGCUAAUCUGGUGCCAGCCGCCGCGGUUACACCACGUGGCUCAAAUUGAUUUUCACCGGCGUAAAGCGUGAUUAAAGCUAACGACAGUUAGGAUCAAAUUAAAACUAAGCUGUGACACGCUUGUUAAUUAAGAAGCCCAAAAACGAAAGUUAUCCUAAUUUAACCAACUUGA
rnacentral:rRNA from 1 species